rnacentral:rRNA from 1 species
GAUGGACGCUGGCGGCGUGCUUAACACAUGCAAGUCGAACGGGCUCAUAUUGAAACCUAGUGAUUUAUGAGUUAGUGGCGGACGGGUGAGUAACGCGUGGAAAACCUGCCGUAUACUGGGGGGUAACACUUAGAAAUAGGUGCUAAUACCGCAUAAGCGCACAGCUUCGCAUGAAGUGGUGUGAAAAACUCUGGUGGUAUACGAUGGUUCCGCGUCUGAUUAGCUUGUUGGUGGGGUAAUGGCUCACCAAGGCGACGAUCAGUAGCCGGCAUGAGAGGGUGAACGGCCACAUUGGGACUGAGACACGGCCCAAACUCCUACGGGAGGCAGCAGUGGGGAAUAUUGCACAAUGGGGGAAACCCUGAUGCAGCGACGCCGCGUGAGUGAAGAAGUAUUUCGGUAUGUAAAGCUCUAUCAGCAGGGAAGAAAUAGCGACCUUUGGGUCGCCAGACGGUACCUGAUUAAGAAGCCCCGGCUAACUACGUGCCAGCAGCCGCGGUAAUACGUAGGGGGCAAGCGUUAUCCGGAUUUACUGGGUGUAAAGGGAGCGUAGACGGCAGCACAAGUCUGAAGUGAAAUGCCGGGGCUUAACCCCGGAACUGCUUUGGAAACUGUGCAGCUAGAGCGCAGGAGAGGUAAGUGGAAUUCCUAGUGUAGCGGUGAAAUGCGUAGAUAUUAGGAGGAACACCAGUGGCGAAGG